AACAUAGGUAAUAGCAUGUUACCGCUAGAGAUUUUGUCUUGAGCCACGUUGUUUCAUACACUCAACAUUUUGUAAAUUCUAUUUCUGUGAUGGGGAUGGUUAUCUCACACUUAACUGUUGACAUUCGAUUUCAAGUUUGGUGAGGUGAUUAUGAAGAGAGUAUGAUGAAACAAUUAUAAUAGCCGGAAUUGAUUAUUCAUUGAUUGAGCAGAGGAGGCAACUUAUUACUCUCUGACAUCAACGACGUGGAGAUCAUUAUCAGUUGGUAGAUGUGAUCCGGUUCUAUGUAGACUGUCCUGACUGCUCGGCCACAUAAUGUGUGAAAAGGGGGCCAAAAAACAAAAACGAGAUAUGUAAUGACGCCAACAAAAUAACUACUAAUGAUGAAGAAGGCUUCAUAGAUUGUGAUGAUGUUGGUGCAGAUGAAAAUGAAGAUGCUGAAAAUGCAAAAACAAACGGGUGCAAGUAGUGGAAGCUGAAAUAUAUUUGGAACCUUCCAAAAGAGAAUAGGAUAAUGGUUCGCAGCAAUGACCUUCCAAAUAUAUUUUUUUGCACA